AACGCACAUUGCGCCCGCCAGUAUUCUGGCGGGCAUGCCUGUUCGAGCGUCAUUUCAACCAUCAAGCGCCCGCGCUUGUGUUGGAGCCCUGCGGCCGCCGCAGCCUCCCAAACCCAGUGGCGGGCUCGUCGUCGUACCGAGUGCAGUAAACAUACCACGCUCCGGGCACGCGACGGGUCACCGGCCGUUAAACCCCCCACAUCUCAAGGUUGACCUCGGAUCAGGUAGGAAUACCCGCUGAACUUAA
rnacentral:misc_RNA from 1 species